rnacentral:rRNA from 1 species
UACAGAGGGUGCAAGCGUUGUUCGGAUUUAUUGGGCGUAAAGGGCGUGUAGGCGGUUCGUUAAGUCUGAUGUGAAAGCCCCGGGCUCAACCCGGGAAGUGCAUUGGAAACUGGCGAACUUGAGUACGGGAGAGGGCAGUGGAAUUCCUAGUGUAGGAGUGAAAUCCGUAGAUAUUAGGAGGAACACCGGUGGCGAAGGCGGCUGCCUGGACCGAUACUGACGCUGAGACGCGAAAGCGUGGGGAGCAAACAGG